rnacentral:rRNA from 1 species
AUUGAACGCUGGCGGCAGGCCUAACACAUGCAAGUCGAACGAGUGGCGGACGGGUGAGUAAUGUCUGGGAAACUGCCUGAUGGAGGGGGAUAACUACUGGAAACGGUAGCUAAUACCGCAUACCAUUGGAUGUGCCCAGAUGGGAUUAGCUAGUAGGUGGGGUAAAGGCUCACCUAGGCGACGAGCCAUAGCUGGUCUGAGAGGAUGACCGGCCAGACUGGAACUGAGACACGGUCCAGACUCCUACGGUAGGCAGCAGUGGGGAAUCUUGCACAAUGGGCGCAAGCCUGAUGCAGCCAUGCCGCGUGUAUGAAGAAGGCCUUCGGGUUGUAAAGUACUUUCAGCGGGGAGGCGUUACCCGCAGAAGAAGCAACGGCUAACUCCGUGCCAGCCGCCGCGGUAAUAC